rnacentral:rRNA from 1 species
UGAGGCGCGCCGAGUUUGAUCCUGGCUCAGAUUGAACGCUGGCGGCAGGCCUAACACAUGCAAGUCGAGCGGUAACAGAAAGUAGCUUGCUACUUUGCUGACGAGCGGCGGACGGGUGAGUAAUGCUUGGGAACAUGCCUUGAGGUGGGGGACAACAGUUGGAAACGACUGCUAAUACCGCAUAAUGUCUACGGACCAAAGGGGGCUUCGGCUCUCGCCUUUAGAUUGGCCCAAGUGGGAUUAGCUAGUUGGUGAGGUAAUGGCUCACCAAGGCAACGAUCCCUAGCUGGUUUGAGAGGAUGAUCAGCCACACUGGAACUGAGACACGGUCCAGACUCCUACGGGAGGCAGCAGUGGGGAAUAUUGCACAAUGGGCGAAAGCCUGAUGCAGCCAUGCCGCGUGUGUGAAGAAGGCCUUCGGGUUGUAAAGCACU